AAUCAUUAGCCUCUUAAUUAGGGGCUAGAAUGAAUGGUUUAACAUUUCUUUAACUUUUUUAAAAAUUAAUAUAAAACUUAUACUAAAUAUAAAAAUAUAUUUAUUAACAAAUUAGACGACAAGACCCUUUCAAACUUUACUAAAGUUUAGCUGGGGUAGCUAAAUAAUUAUAAUCUUAUUAAUAAAAACAAAACAGAUCCAAUUAAAAAAUUGAUUAUAUGACCAAGUUACUGAAGGGAUAACAGCAUAAUAAAUUUAUAUAGCUCUUAUUUAAAAAUUAGUUUAUGACCUCGAUGUUGAAUUAUUUUACUUCUACACGCAAGAGUUUAGAAAGAAGGUCUGUUCGACCUUUAAAUUUU
rnacentral:rRNA from 1 species